GAUGAACGCUGGCGGCGUGCCUAAUACAUGCAAGUCGAGCGAACAGACGAGGAGCUUGCUCCUCUGACGUUAGCGGCGGACGGCUGAGUAACACGUGGAUAACCUACCUAUAAGACUGGGAUAACUUCGGGAAACCGGAGCUAAUACCGGAUAAUAUAUUGAACCGCAUGGUUCAAUAGUGAAAGACGGUUUUGCUGUCACUUAUAGAUGGAUCCGCGCCGCAUUAGCUAGUUGGUAAGGUAACGGCUUACCAAGGCAACGAUGCGUAGCCGACCUGAGAGGGUGAUCGGCCACACUGGACCUGAGACACGGUCCAGACUCCUACGGGAGGCAGCAGUAGGGAAUCUUCCGCAAUGGGCGAAAGCCUGACGGAGCAACGCCGCGUGAGUGAUGAAGGUCUUCGGAUCGUAAAACUCUGUUAUUAGGGAAGAACAAAUGUGUAAGUAACUAUGCACGUCUUGACGGUACCUAAUCAGAAAGCCACGGCUAACUACGU
rnacentral:rRNA from 1 species